rnacentral:rRNA from 1 species
UACAGAGGUGGCAAGCGUUGUUCGGAAUUACUGGGCAUAAAGGGCGCGUAGGCGGUCUUUUAAGUCUCGUGUGAAAUCCCUCGGCUCAACUGAGGAACUGCACGGGAUACUGGGUGACUUGAGUUCGGGAGAGGGAAGCGGAAUUCCGGGUGUAGCGGUGAAAUGCGUAGAUAUCCGGAGGAACACCGGUGGCGAAGGCGGCUUCCUGGACCGACACUGACGCUGAGGCGCGAAAGCUAGGGGAGCAAACGGG